rnacentral:rRNA from 1 species
UACGUAGGGACCAAGCGUUGUUCGGAUUUACUGGGCGUAAAGGGCGCGUAGGCGGCAUGACAAGUCACUUGUGAAAUCUCCGGGCUUAACUCGGAACGGUCAAGUGAUACUGUCGCGCUAGAGUGCGGAAGGGGCAAUCAGAAUUCUUGGUGUAGCGGUGAAAUGCGUAGAUAUCAAGAGGAAUACCUGAGGUGAAGACGGGUUGCUAGGCCGACACUGACGCUGAGGAGCGAAAGCGUGGGGAGCGAACAGG